rnacentral:piRNA from 1 species
CACAUGCCUGCAUAUAAAUGGUCUCAAUA